rnacentral:tRNA from 1 species
AGGCAUCUUGUGAAAGGCACCAACAGCAAUUCGUUGGCAACAUCUGCGACUGCAAAUCGUAUUAUGUGGGUUCAAAUCCCUGAUGGUGCCUU